GACGAACGCUGGCGGCGUGCCUAAUACAUGCAAGUAGAACGCACAGUUUAUACCGUAGCUUGCUACACCAUACACUGUGAGUUGCGAACGGGUGAGUAACGCGUAGGUAACCUGCCUGGUAGCGGGGGAUAACUAUUGGAAACGAUAGCUAAUACCGCAUAAUAUUGAUUAUUGCAUGAUAAUUGAUUGAAAGAUGCUAUUGCAUCACUACCAGAUGGACCUGCGUUGUAUUAGCUAGUAGGUGAGGUAACGGCUCACCUAGGCGACGAUACAUAGCCGACCUGAGAGGGUGAUCGGCCUCACUGGGACUGAGACACGGCCCAGACUCCUACGGGAGGCAGCAGUAGGGAAUCUUCGGCAAUGGACGAAAGUCUGACCGAGCAACGCCGCGUGAGUGAAGAAGGUUUUCGGAUCGUAAAGCUCUGUUGUAAGAGAAGAACGGGUGUGAGAGUGGAAAGUUCACACUGUGACGGUAUCUUACCAGAAAGGGACGGCUAACUACGUG
rnacentral:rRNA from 1 species